CCGGGGGGGGGUGCUAUACAUGCAAGUCGAGCGAACAGAUAAGGAGCUUGCUCCUUUGACGUUAGCGGCGGACGGGUGAGUAACACGUGGAUAACCUACCUAUAAGACUGGGAUAACUUCGGGAAACCGGAGCUAAUACCGGAUAACAUAUUGAACCGCAUGGUUCAAUAGUGAAAGGCGGCUUUGCUGUCACUUAUAGAUGGAUCCGCGCCGUAUUAGCUAGUUGGUAAGGUAACGGCUUACCAAGGCAACGAUACGUAGCCGACCUGAGAGGGUGAUCGGCCACACUGGAACUGAGACACGGUCCAGACUCCUACGGGAGGCAGCAGUAGGGAAUCUUCCGCAAUGGGCGAAAGCCUGACGGAGCAACGCCGCGUGAGUGAUGAAGGUCUUCGGAUCGUAAAACUCUGUUAUCAGGGAAGAACAAAUGUGUAAGUAACUGUGCACAUCUUGACGGUACCUGAUCAGAAAGCCACGGCUAACUACGUGCCAGCAGCCGCGGUAAUACGUAGGUGGCAAGCGUUAUCCGGAAUUAUUGGGCGUAAAGCGCGCGUAGGCGGUUUUUUAAGUCUGAUGUGAAAGCCCACGGCUCAACCGUGGAGGGUCAUUGGAAACUGGAAAACUUGAGUGCAGAAGAGGAAAGUGGAAUUCCAUGUGUAGCGGUGAAAUGCGCAGAGAUAUGGAGGAACACCAGUGGCGAAGGCGACUUUCUGGUCUGUAACUGACGCUGAUGUGCGAAAGCGUGGGGAUCAAACAGGAUUAGAUACCCUGGUAGUCCACGCCGUAAACGAUGAGUGCUAAGUGUUAGGGGGUUUCCGCCCCUUAGUGCUGCAGCUAACGCAUUAAGCACUCCGCCUGGGGAGUACGACCGCAAGGUUGAAACUCAAAGGAAUUGACGGGGACCCGCACAAGCGGUGGAGCAUGUGGUUUAAUUCGAAGCAACGCGAAGAACCUUACCAAAUCUUGACAUCCUUUGACCGCUCUAGAGAUAGAGUCUUCCCCUUCGGGGACAAAGUGACAGUGCUGCAUGGUGUCGUCAGCUCGUGUCGUGAGAUGUUGGGUUAAGUCCCGCAACGAGCGCAACCCUUAAGCUUAGUUG
rnacentral:rRNA from 1 species